rnacentral:rRNA from 1 species
UACAGAGGUCUCAAGCGUCGUUCGGAUUCAUUGGGCGUAAAGGGUGCGUAGGCGGCGCGGUAAGUCGGGUGUGAAAUCUCGGAGCUUAACUCCGGAACUGCAUUCGAUACUGCCGUGCUUGAGGACUGGAGAGGAGACUGGAAUUUACGGUGUAGCGGUGAAAUGCGUAGAUAUCGUAAGGAAGACCAGUGGCGAAGGCGGGUCUCUGGACAGUUCCUGACGCUGAGGCACGAAGGUCAGGGGAGCAAACGGG